GUGUUAGCUUUGACAGCCCAGAUAGUAAAAUUAGAACAGUACGAAGAUUAUCUUGGUUCUUACACCAGGAUGACAUGUAAAUUCAUGAGGCAUCCCAUAUUUUU
ensembl:snRNA U6 U6 spliceosomal RNA